GCAUCACCCAAGGAAACCUCUAGGGAUAAAAGUCCAGAUGACGACACCACACUAGGGGGCUGGAUUGAAAAUUCAAGUUGGAGAUUCCAAUACUACCGAAGGAAAAUGGGCAAUUCUUCGGGAUCAGCAGUCGACAAUAUCAUGGACAACAACACCGAGAUAAAUCUCAUCGAUUUAGUAAACCUCAAACCGGAGCACCACCAAGUGCCUACAUUUGAGCUGCCAGACAUUUUGAGCUUUGAAGAGAAUGUACGGAAGAAGGCUUUCGAUGAGGUUACAGCAAGUGAACUGAAGAAGAGUGAUGAAAAUAAGUCAGAGGGCAAGGAUUUGUUCCCUGAACUUUGCCAACAAAGUAUGAUAGAUUAUUGGAUGAAUCAAGCAGCGAGUUUCGAUGAAGCGGCUACAGAUGCACCACAAGGAGCAGCAGCACCAGGACCAACAGCAGUAGCAGCACCGGGAGGAGGGGCACCAGAUCCAGCUUUGGCAAAAAGGAGAAGAGCAGCAACCCUAGCAGACGAAGUUUUGAACAAAGGGAAAGAAGCAGCAGAUCCUCUACAUAAAAAAGAGAAAAAGAAGAAGGUUCUAGCUCCUAGGAAGAUAAUAGGAAAGAAGCAGCAACCCCUCGCAAGACCUGCUAUGGAGGCCAGACGCGCAGAAGAAUAAUUGACAGUUCCAGCAGGAGAGUUGCAUGGUGCUAUUGGGAAGGUGCUUCAUACAGAGUCAAAGUUAUCAGAUAUAGCUCCAGAGUUACAAGGCACAACCAAGUAGGCUUCAGCACAACAGGAGGGUUUGCCAGCAACAGCCACAGAGUUGCAGGGAAUAAUGGAGGUGUUGCAAGCCCCAGCUAGAGAUUUGCAGGGAACCAGGGAAGAGUUGCCAGCAAAAGUCACCGAGUUGCAGGGAAUCAUGCAAGAGUUGCCAGACCAAGUCACAAAGUUACAGGGAAACAGGUAGGAGUUGUCAGCCCAAGUCAUAGAGUUGCAGGGAACCAAGGAAGAGUUGCCACCCCCAGCCACAGAGUUGUAGGGAACCAAGGGGGAGUUGCCACCCCCAGCCACAGAGUUGCAGGGAACCAGGAGGGGGCUGCCAGCUACAGGCAUAGAGUUGCAGGGAACCAGGGGGGGGGGAGUUACCACCCCCAGCCACAGAGUUGCAGGGAACCAGGAGGGAGUUGCCAGCUACAGGCAUCUACAUGUUCCUCAUCUCUAGAACUCUCGUCACGACGUGCCUUAGAUGAGUUGCCGGUGGGAUUAGAUGAUUGGCCGGCAGCAUCGUCCAUAGGUUUGGGCUUUCUAAACUUGUUGCAAACAAACUGCUGCUUCUCCACCAGAUAUGUGUAGGUGCCGCGAGUAUGAUGAUGAUACAGGACAAGAAUGCACAGGGAAUUGAAGUUCAAGGAUCUUUUUGUCUCUUAUACACAGCUAGCUUGAUGUGUUACUUUUUUUCUUGUAUAUAGACACUAUGGUCUAGUCAGAAAAAUGCCCAGAACAUAUGGUGUUAUGCUACUUUCUCUAUCUUGUAUAUAGACGCUAUGCUAUAUGGUGUGCUACAAA